AACGAACGCUGGCGGCAUGCCUAACACAUGCAAGUCGAACGAGACCUUCGGGUCUAGUGGCGCACGGGUGCGUAACGCGUGGGAACCUGCCCUUAGGUUCGGAAUAACUCCCCGAAAGGGGUGCUAAUACCGGAUAAUGUCUUCUGACCAAAGAUUUAUCGCCUUUGGUUGUGCCCGCGUUGGAUUAGCUAGUUGGUAGGGUAAAAGCCUACAAAGGCGACGAUUCAUAGCUGGUCUGAGAGGAUGAUCAGCAACACUGGGACUGAGACACGGCCCAGACUCCUACGGGAGGCAGCAGGGGGGAAGAUGGGACAAUGGGCGAAAGCCUGAGCCAGCAAGGCCGCGAGAGUGAUGAAGGCGUUAGGGUUGUAAAGCUCUUUUACCCGGGAUGAUAAUGACAGUACCGGGAGAAUAAGCUCCGGCUAACUCCGG
rnacentral:rRNA from 1 species